UUCUCUUUCUCUUUAAGAUGCUGUCAGUGAACUUCAGUCUGUUUGUGACUUUGUUUCUGCUCACAAUAAGAGGUGUCAGCUGUGAAGAACUCACUCCAGUCAGGAAUGAAGAGUUCACUUUAGAAGACAGCUCUGUUACCCUGUCCUGCAAAUACUCCAAACAAGCAACUGCUAGUGAUUAUUUCUUCUGGUAUCGGCAACAUCCAGAAAAACCACCAGAGUUCCUCAUCUCACACUCUGGUUCAGGAGCAGUAGGAAAUGAUCCAAUCCCUGGACUGUCUGUUAAAGUGAGUGAUGAUAAAACCCAAAUGGAUCUGCAGAUCUCCUCUGCUGCAGUGACAGACUCUGCUGUGUACUACUGUGCUGUGAGGCCCACAGUGACAGGAAACACCAAAACUCUGUACAAAAACCUUUGGAGCAAAGACAACAGAAUACUCCACAACGUCCACUAGAGGGAGUCACACUCUGUUAAACUUUAGUGGCAUGUUUUCAUAUGGUCUGGAUUCUUUGCACUGAUAACAACUUGAAGAAAAAUGAGGAUUAAACAAUAAAAAAAUGA